GCUGUUAGGAUUUCUGGGAGUUGAAGGCCUAAACAUCUGGGGACCCACAGGUUGAGAACCACUGCUUUAUGGAUAUUAUUCCUGUUAUCUGAAAGCUGUUGCAUCUGAGAUAGACAACCUCUGAGGAUGCCUGCUAUAGAUGUGGGCGAAAUGUCAGGAGAGAAUACUUCUGGAACAUGGCCACACAGCCCGAAAGACAUACAACAACCCAGGGGGAAGACAAUCCUAAAAGUCUUGGUCCCUAAUUCAUCUUUAAUCUGACCAUAUUGGCUAAGGUCAGUAAGAGUUAUGGUAUGACAAUAUUACAAGGGUACCCAAACAUUAGACAGUAGUCAAACAGUAGUCAAUUUAGUUCAGUAGAAGGAAGUGUCUAAUGUCUGUAUAUCUUUCUGCUCCAUGACCUCUAUGGCAUCUCUUUCCAGAAGAGCUGAACUGUGUCCAAGUGAGUAACAAGAAAUAUUAAAGGGAAGUCCAACAGCAUUGUGAAUCCCACUGUCCAUGCUGUGUGAUAGAAUUCUCCCCACAUCAUCCUUACAAGAUCUUGACAUGGGCAUCAUGCAGCAAACACAACAGCUGGGUAAUCAUGAAAAACUCACGAGGGCAAUAGCUCUGCUGAGAAGGACCCAGAGUCAGCAACCUUGAAUGAAUCAAUCAAUCAGAGAGCAAGCUUGAGUCAGCAGUGGAGGACUCUUGCCAGGAAAGCAAAGCAAAAUAAAAAAGGCAUGUGCUGCCUGGAAAGAUACUGGGGAAAGAAAUGCUGCAAUGAAAGCUCGGAAAGCCCAGCUCUGCUCUGCUCAGGCUGGGAGAGACUGGUUGUUUUCAAAAUCCACGACUUUUGAGCAGUGUGAGAAAGAUGGUCCCUUGCAUGCCCAAGAUGAUGUUCAGCAAGUACAACCAACAUUAAAUGUGUGGCCAUGGAGGAAGUCAAAUGAGUUCACAAACAGCCUCAGCAACUUUAUUUCCUGAGUAAGGCUGUCCUUUUAUGUAACAGGAGAAAGUGAACUCCUCAGGACUUGGAAAGAGAAAGAUUACCAAUAUUUGGAAAGCCUACAAAAGACAGAACUCUUCUGGCUUUGAGAUGGAAUCAAAUAACCUCUGAGGAGGUCUGUAUAUCCCAAAUGACUCCCUCCCCUCUCCUUCCCAUUUUUUGGAAAAAUAAAACAUAAUAAUUGCUUUCUUGGUGGUGAGACCAAGGUAAUGUGUCCUUUUGGAUGGACAGGUUCAAUAGAAAGUGCUCAUGGACCAUGGUAACCACUUUUUUGUGUCAGGAGUGACUUGAGAAACUGCAAUUCACUUCUGGUGUGAGAGAAUUGGCUGUCUGCAAGGACAUUCUUGCUGGCUCUCAAAAUGCUAUAUUAGAGGGAGGUUUGAUAAUUAGUGUCAACUUUUGGGACCCUAGCGCACUGCACUAUGAUUUCACUUUGACUUCCAAGCUGCAUCCUUUAGUGAAGCACUAGAACAACAUAGAUGAGAAUUAUAAUUAUUCAUUCCUAAACUGAAAACCCUGCAUCCCAUAAGAUGAGACUGUGGCAGUUGAAGUGGAGUCAUAGUGCAUAAUUGUGCAAAGUAAAAUGAUCCUGGUUUUGAGCUAAGCUUUCCCCUUUCUCUUCCUUAUUGCCCAUUGGCCUCUUUGGGAACAUUAGUAGAAAUAAAAUGACGCAGCUACUCUAUUCCAUCUACUGAGUGGAGGAAGAGGGCAGACAUGUAGGGGCUGUUCUUUCUCCUCCUUCCCAUUAUCACCUGCUCAGGUCAUACAGAGAGAGUGGAUAAAAUGACUAUGAGGGAUAGAAGGAAGAGGAACAGCACCAGAGGUAGGGCAGCUCUUGAGCCAACAAUAAAUGUCCCUGUGAGAGAGAAGUCUUGGCAAGUCUCAGGGAAAAGCAUUAUCACUGACCCAUAUUUGGUUUAAAGCAGUUGAACCAUUCCUGCACUAAACCAGUUUUGGCCAAAUAUAAUCAUAAUGGUUGAAUAUGUUCAU
rnacentral:lncRNA from 1 species